rnacentral:rRNA from 1 species
CCAAGGCGACGAUCCGUAGCUGGUCUGAGAGGAUGAUCAGCCACACUGGGAUUGAGACACGGCCCAGACUCCUACGGGAGGCAGCAGUGGGGAAUAUUGGACAAUGGGCGAAAGCCUGAUCCAGCCAUGCCGCGUGGGUGAAGAAGGCCCUCGGGUUGUAAAGCCCUUUUGUUGGGAAAGAAAUCUUUCCGGUUAAUACCCGGAGAGGAUGACGGUACCCAAAGAAUAAGCACCGGCUAACUUCGUGCCAGCAGCCGCGGUAAUACGAAGGGUGCAAGCGUUACUCGGAAUUACUGGGCGUAAAGCGUGCGUAGGCGGUUCGUUAAGUCUGAUGUGAAAGCCCCGGGCUCAACCUGGGAAUUGCAUUGGAUACUGGCGGGCUAGAGUACGGUAGAGGGUGGCGGAAUUCCUGGUGUAGCAGUGAAAUGCGUAGAGAUCAGGAGGAACAUCCGUGGCGAAGGCGGCCACCUGGACCAGUACUGACACUGAGGCACGAAAGCGUGGGGAGCAAACAGGAUUAGAUACCCUGGUAGUCCACGCCCUAAACGAUGCGAACUGGAUGUUGGGGGCAAUCAGGCCUUCAGUAUCGAAGCUAACGCGUUAAGUCGCCGC